rnacentral:rRNA from 1 species
UACAGAGGUGGCAAGCGUUGUUCGGAAUUACUGGGCGUAAAGGGCGCGUAGGCGGUUUCGUAAGUCCCGUGUGAAAGCCCCCGGCUCAACUGGGGAAUUGCACGGGAAACUGCGAGGCUUGAGUUCGGGAGAGGGAAGCGGAAUUCCGGGUGUAGCGGUGAAAUACGUAGAUAUCUGGAGGAACACCGGUGGCGAAGGCGGCGAUCUGGCCCAACACUGACACUGAGACCCGAAAGCAUGGGGAUCAAACAGG